rnacentral:rRNA from 1 species
GAUGAACGCUGGCGGCGUGCUUAACACAUGCAAGUCGAACGGUGAAGCAGGAGCUUGCUCCUGUGGAUCAGUGGCGAACGGGUGAGUAACACGUGAGCAAUCUGCCCUGGACUCUGGGAUAAGCGUUGGAAACGACGUCUAAUACCGGAUACGAGGCGUGGGGGCAUCCCCAACGCCUGGAAAGAACUUCGGUCCAGGAUGAGCUCGCGGCCUAGCAGGUAGUUGGUGAGGUAACGGCUCACCAAGCCUACGACGGGUAGCCGGCCUGAGAGGGUGACCGGCCACACUGGGACUGAGAGACGGCGCAGACUCCUACGGGAGGCAACAGUGGGGAAUAUUGCACAAUGGGCGCAAGCCUGAUGCAGCAACGCCGCGUGAGGGACGACGGCCUUCGGGUUGUAAACCUCUUUUAGCAGGGAAGAAGCGAAAGUGACGGUACCUGCAGAAAAAGCACCGGCUAACUACGUGCCAGCCGCCGCUGUAACAC